UACGAAGGACCCGAGCGUUAUCCGGAUUUAUUGGGUUUAAAGGGUGCGUAGGCGGACACGCAAGUCAGUGGUGAAAUCUCCCAGCUUAACUGGGAAACUGCCAUUGAAACUAUGUGUCUUGAGUACAUUUGAGGCGGGCGGAAUGUGUCAUGUAGAGGUGAAAUUCUUAGAUAUGACAUAGAACACCAAUUGCGAAGGCAGCUCGCUAAACUGUAACUGACGCUGAGGCACGAAAGCGUGGGGAUCAAACAGG
rnacentral:rRNA from 1 species